rnacentral:piRNA from 1 species
UCAAGCAUUUGGGCUAAUAGCCACUUAUCAA